CACGGUGCCAAUGAAGAUACAGAAAAGGGGAGAGUGAAGAGAAAAGAUACCAUGUGAAAUGAAGCGAGAGAUUUCUAGUUUUAUUUUUUAUUAUUUUUGCAUUUUACUCCUUGCACACACUCC
rnacentral:ribozyme from 1 species